AGCGAACGCUGGCGGCAGGCCUAACACAUGCAAGUCGAACGGAUCCUUCGGGAUUAGUGGCGGACGGGUGAGUAACACGUGGGAACGUGCCCUUUGGUUCGGAACAACUCAGGGAAACUUGAGCUAAUACCGGAUGUGCCCUUCGGGGGAAAGAUUUAUCGCCAUUGGAGCGGCCCGCGUCUGAUUAGCUAGUUGGUGAGGUAAAGGCUAACCAAGGCGACGAUCAGCAGCUGGUCUGAGAGGAUGAUCAGCCACAGUGGGACUGAGACACGGCCCAAACACCUACGGGAGGCAGCAGUGGGGAAUCUUGCGCAAUGGGCGAAAGCCUGACGCAGCCAUGCCGCGUGAAUGAUGAAGGUCUUAGGAUUGUAAAAUUCUUUCACCGGGGACGAUAAUGACGGUACCCGGAGAAGAAGCCCCGGCUAACUUCGUGCCAGCAGCCGCCGUAA
rnacentral:rRNA from 1 species